UACGGAGGGAGCAAGCGUUACUCGGAAUUAUUGGGCGUAAAGGGCGCGUAGGCGAUUUGAAAAGUCUUGUGUGAAAGCCCCGAGCUUAACUCGGGAAGUGCACAAGAAACUGUUGAAUUUGAGUUCCGGAGAGGAAGGCAGAAUUCCCGGUGUAGCGGUGAAAUGCGUAGAUAUCGGGAGGAAUACCAGUGGCGAAGGCGGCCUUCUGGACGGAUACUGACGCUGAGGCGCGAAAGCCAGGGGAGCAAACGGA
rnacentral:rRNA from 1 species